AUGCAAGUCGUGCGAGAAGUUCCUUCGGGAGCGAGUAAAGCGGCGCACGGGUGAGUAACACGUAGGUAACCUGCCCCCCAGUCUAGAACAACUAGAGGAAACUCUAGCUAAUGCCGGAUGAGACCACGAUCCCGUUCGGGGGUUGCGGCCAAAGAUGGCCUCUACUUGUAAGCUAUCGCUGAGGGAUGGGCCUGCGGCCAUUAGCUUGUUGGUGAGGUAACGGCUCACCAAGGCUGUGAUGGCUAGCUGGCCUGAGAGGAUGACCAGCCACACUGGGACUGAGGCACGGCCCAGACUCCUACGGGAGGCAGCAGUGGGGAAUAUUGCGCAAUGGGCGAAAGCCUGACGCAGCGACGCCGCGUGGGUGAUGAAGGCCUUCGGGUCGUAAAGCCCUGUCGCAGGGGAAGAAUAAGCAUCGGUAUAAUACGCCGGUGCCCUGACGGUACCCUGCAAGAAAGCACCGGCUAACUCCGUG
rnacentral:rRNA from 1 species